GAUGAACGCUGGCGGCGUGCCUAAUACAUGCAAGUCGAGCGAACGGACGAGAAGCUUGCUUCUCUGAUGUUAGCGGCGGACGGGUGAGUAACACGUGGAUAACCUACCUAUAAGACUGGGAUAACUUCGGGAAACCGGAGCUAAUACCGGAGGAUAUUUUGCACCGCAUGGGUCAAAAGUGAAAGACGGUCUUGCUGUCACUUAUAGAUGGAUCCGCGCUGCAUUAGCUAGUUGGUAAGGUAACGGCUUACCAAGGCAACGAUGCGUAGCCGACCUGAGAGGGUGGUCGGCCACCCGGGAACUGGGACGCGGUCCAGACUCCUACGGGAGGCAGCAGUCGGGAAUCUUCCGCAGUGGGCGAAAGCCUGACGGAGCAACGCCGCGUGAGUGAUGAAGGUCUUCGGAUCGUAAAACUCUGUUAUUAGGGAAGAACAUAUGUGUACGUAACUGUGCACAUAUUGACGGUACCUAAUCAGAAAGCCCCGGCUAACUACGUG
rnacentral:rRNA from 1 species